UGGGGAAUAUUGCACAAUGGGCGCAAGCCUGAUGCAGCCAUGCCGCGUGUAUGAAGAAGGCCUUCGGGUUGUAAAGUACUUUCAGCGGGGAGGAAGGGAGUAAAGUUAAUACCUUUGCUCAUUGACGUUACCCGCAGAAGAAGCACCGGCUAACUCCGUGCCAGCAGCCGCGGUAAUACGGAGGGUGCAAGCGUUAAUCGGAAUUACUGGGCGUAAAGCGCACGCAGGCGGUUUGUUAAGUCAGAUGUGAAAUCCCCGGGCUCAACCUGGGAACUGCAGCUGAUACUGGCAAGCUUGAGUCUCGUAGAGGGGGGUAGAAUUCCAGGUGUAGCGAUGAAAUGCGUAGAGAUCUGGGGGAAUACCGGUGGCGGAGGCGGCCCCCUGGACGAAAUCUGACGCUCAGGUGCGAAAGCGUGGGGAGCAAAAAGG
rnacentral:rRNA from 1 species